UGCCCGGUCGUUCAAUGGUAGGACAACGGGUUUUGGGUCCGUCUAUCGAGGUUCGAGUCCUCGCCGGGCAGCCA
rnacentral:tRNA from 1 species